rnacentral:misc_RNA from 1 species
GUGAAGCUUGCCCGUCUCUAUAUUCAUUGAUUGGGUUGAGGGAGCAUAUAAAGAAACGCCCCCCACUAGCAACAACCGAAAAGGUUCAACAAUUUGUGAGGGCUCGGGGUUCACCACCAAACCAGAAUGAACACCUCUUCUUUUAAUGCUAAUGAAAAGAAGAGGUGUUCAUUCUGGUUUGGUGGUGAAGGGUGAGGAAGGGGCUCUUUCAAUGACAACAAGAUUGCGUUCUGCAAAUGCAUCAAAAGGACUCCCUGUGAACUAUUGUUCAGGGUUUCGUUCAUUGAGCAUGGCUUCUGCUUUUGAAGUUGAUGGAGUGUCACGUGAGAGUUUCAAUAUUGAGGUUAAUGCCAAGGACUAUGGUUUUGAACCCACUGAUACGCCAAGAACUGAUAGAUCGGUCUCCAAGAAUAUACAGCUGGGUUUAGCAGCUCUUCGUGGUGAAAAAGGUCCAGCAUAUGAUCGGAUUGUUCUAAAUGCGGGAAUGGUGGAUCACUUGCUGAGAUGUGAUGGUGCAGAAGAUAUCUCCUCAGCCCUGGACAGAGCCAGAGAGGCCAUUGACAGUGGUAGGGCUCUUAAAAAGCUAUUAAAUUACAUAAAUAUCUCUCACAAAGUUAGGUAAAUGGGGCCCAAUUGGUGCUUGCUAACUUCAAUUUGCAUCAGAU